rnacentral:tRNA from 1 species
ACCUGGCUGGCUCGGUCUGUAAAGCAUGGGACUCUUGAUCUCAAGGUUGUGAGUUUAAGACCCAUGUUGGGUA